GUGCAGCUGAGGUUAAAGGCUGAAUGUGCAGUAUGUUGAUCGGUAACUACCAUCGAACAAUUUGGGGAUCUACUAGGGAACAAGCUUUCUUGGUUAAUGCUAGCAUUGUUUGCUAGUGUAAAGGGCUUCUACUUAGCAAAAGUUGUGUGGUACAUACCAGCAUUCUUGGUUGCUGCAUCCAUGGCUGUCAUUCUGGCACUGUGUUCACUGCAUGAUUGCUCCUUCAUUCCAAAGAAGAGCAUGCUAGCAAGAUUGAACUCCUGGUAGCAUCUUAUCACUUCUGAGUCAAGCUCAUCAUAUGAGCUCAUAGAGUCUGAAAUUUAAUUAGUAAAACCUUUAAAUACAUUGAUACCCACUGGGUAUGUACUGUACAUCAUAUACAUCAUCAACACCAGAAGACUGGUAGUCCAGCCAGGCUUUUGUUUCUUAGAAUUAGAGCUAUUUUCAUUAUCAUCACAUUAUGUAAGGUUAUAUUGGCUAGAACUAGUCAGAUUUCUUUCAUAGUUGCAUAUAGUACCUCUUUGAAAAAUACAAGGCUUGAUAUUAGGAAAUAAUACACCAAGAAGUAAAUAACAAACACACAGUGAACUGCAGUUUUAUAUCUGACCUGAGGCUGCAUUGUUGAGGUUGUCAAAUGAGUAGAUGGAUUUGGUGCUUGCCCUGAAUGAAACUACAGACCUACAAGGAUAUAUGCACAUACAAUUAGUGACAAAUAAAAAUUGGGUCCGACUUUGUUUAGUACACCUAAAGGUUGAGCAAACUUCUAUCCACUUAUAAAACAUCAACCUCUAAUGAAAUGGAACACCACAAUAUAGUAAUACUCUUAAUAUACCAAUAGUUGCUGUAUAACAACCACAAUACUGUGUCCUAGCAACAGCAAAAUACACUUUGAGGUAAUCAUUCUUAUAUAUAGAUACCCUUUAUAUACACUCUUGUUCCAUAUCAUUAAUCAAGGUCCCAUUUUUCAGCACAUGCCUAGACAGAAUAUAUAAACAAAUUAGUCAUCCUGUUGGUGUACUGUACAUUACCUGAAUACAUUGUAGAACAUG